rnacentral:lncRNA from 1 species
GCAUUAUUUUUGUUUGGUUAGUUUGACUUUUAUUGAAGUAUAGUUGAUUAAUAAUACUGUGUUAGUUUCAGGUGUUCACCACAGCAAUUCAUAUAUAUAUAACUUAUCUAUAUAUAAUUUAUAUAUAUAUAAUUUUGGUGGAGGAAAUGGGAAACAUUGCUUACACAAAUUCUGACACCUUCUCUUGUGGUUUAGAAAAAUGAUGGAUAUGGAAGGCAGAAGAGUGUACAAAGAGAGGAAAGAAACGGUAGGACAGGAAAAUAAAUGCAAGGCCAUAACAUUUUGAAGGCCAGGAAAGGGGCUGCGCGUGCUGCAUUAGCCUAAACGUGGCGGAAGGAAAGCAGGGAGGCAGGGGGGUGCUUCUCCCGCAAGUCCUGAUGGGAGGGGUUUCCAGAAAACGGCUGGCCGCGCGUGCGGUGCUUUACUCACGUCUGGAGACAGCUCAAUAAAGCAGCUUUUCCUUUUCCAGAAACACGCCAAUGCACCGAGACAAGACUUGAAUGAAGCGAUAAUGUAAAUUAGAGAAAGGAGAUAAAAAUAACCUCUGGAUAUCCCUCUUGUAUGAGAUUUAUUCUGGAUGAAGCAUUAAGAUCGUUACUGGAAGUGUAUUACUAGGGAAGAAAGAAGCAAUUGAAAGUUCUGAAAAGGGCACCACUAUAAAUGUUGGAAAGAGGCCUGGAGAGAAGAAUCAUAAAAAUAUGAUUUCAUCAACACUUUUUUUUAGAGGAAAGAAAGACAGGGUUCUUAUCAUAGAAAUUGUUAUUUUUGAACAAUUUACUUUUACUCUAUGUCUUCUGUUAAAGGGUCAUCACUAAAUUGUUGGAAAGUGUCACAUAGAUCAGUCUUGUUAACUUUAUAGUUAAAGGCCUUGUAAAUCUACUGCCAUGUGUAAAGAAUGAAAUCUACUGAUAAAUUCUGUUUCCUUACAGUUACUUUUUAGUAUCUAGAGUAAAACUGUGACAAAGAGCAAACUGACCAGUUCACUGACCAGUUGUGUGUGUGUGUGUGUAUAUAUAUAUAUAUAGUAAUAGUUCUAUAUAUAUAUAUAGUAAUUUAUAUAAAAUAGAUAUUACAUUGUGGUCUCAGUAUUAUAAUUACAUCUAUAUAUUUUUGUAAUGCUAAAAGCAUCUGUACA